rnacentral:rRNA from 1 species
UACGUAGGGGGCUAGCGUUGUCCGGAAUCAUUGGGCGUAGAGCGCGUGUAGGCGGCCCGGUAAGUCCGCUGUGAAAGUCGGGGGCUCAACCCUCGGAAGCCGGUGGAUACUGUCGGGCUCGAGUACGGAAGAGGCGAGUGGAAUUCCUGGUGUAGCGGUGAAAUGCGCAGAUAUCAGGAGGAACACCAAUUGCGAAGGCAGCUCGCUGGGACGUAACUGACGCUGAGACGCGAAAGCGUGGGGAGCAAACAGG